rfam:Myotis lucifugus cont2.22940, whole genome shotgun sequence.
GACAGUUUUCAGUUGACGCACCCCGGAAUCGGGCUCCCUCCUCUCUAGUUCUGGAUGUGUCACCCAAGAACCGCC